rnacentral:tRNA from 1 species
GCACCCAUAGCUCAGCUGGAUAGAGUAUCUGACUACGAAUCAGAGGGUCGGGCGUUCGAAUCGCUCUGGGUGCACCA